UACGUAGGGGGCGAGCGUUGUCCGGAUUUAUUGGGCGUAAAGAGCUCGUAGGCGGUUUGGCAAGUCGGGUGUGAAAACUCCGGGCUCAACUCGGAGACGCCACUCGAUACUGCCAUGACUAGAGUCCGGUAGGGGAGUGCGGAAUUCCUGGUGUAGCGGUGAAAUGCUUAGAUAUGACAUAGAACACCCAUUGCGAAGGCAGCUUACUACACGAUCAUUGACGCUGAGGCACGAAAGCGUGGGGAGCAAACAGG
rnacentral:rRNA from 1 species